rnacentral:lncRNA from 1 species
CAAUCCGAAAUUGUUUUUGCCGUCGAACUUCUCGAUUUCAAAUUUUGUGGCCAUCUCCGUCGAUCUCUCUCGUAGAUCGGUAACCUUCAGCUCUGAUACCAAUUGUUGGGAAUCCGGUACUCGCCCCGGUACCGGAUCUUGUGAAUCCGCAACCAGUUCCGAUACCGACUGCUAUGGAUCCGGUACUGAUGGUUGGGAUUCUGCAAUGGAAACGUCAAAUCAGAUUUUUACCAUAAACCCGUCUACUCAACAAAAGCUGAUACAAUCAUACAAGAGAAAAAUAUGCAGGUAAAAUAAGAUUCAUUAAAUAAGAGAAGAUUAUACUUGACCCAUCUUCUGCACAGAGUAGCUACAACCCGAGCCCUUUUUCUGAAUCUCUUCUACCCAUCUCUCGUCUUCUAUAACACCCAAAGAAGACAACCUCUCCACAUGCACCCGUGCACAAGGUGCACUCAAAGAAUGGCUAUUCUCUUUUUCUCUCUCUUUUUCUCUCUGGUACGGUAGCCCAAAAGCUCCAGCAGUACUCCCCCCAAAAACAAACCCAUCAAGAGCUAUUUAUAAAGCUCUACCAAAACGUACCCCAAUACUAAUAUAUUUAGAAUUCCGACUUUAAUUAAUAUCUAAAUAUAUCUUAAUUAAUCUCUAAUAGGUUUAAAUAUUAAUUCUAAUCUAGUUAGGUUUAUCCUCUAAUUAAUAUUUAAAUCUUAAUUUAUCUCCAACAGAUUUAAAUAUUAAUUUUUAUCUAAAUAGAAUUCAACAACAAAUCUAAUCAAAUCCUAACAACAAUGGUGAUGUUGGG